rnacentral:rRNA from 1 species
CCUACGGGCGGCAGCAGUGAGGAAUAUUGGUCAAUGGGCGAGAGCCUGAACCAGCCAAGUCGCGUGAGGGAUGACUGUCCUACGGGUUGUAAACUUCUUUUAUAAAGGAGUAAAGUGACGCACGUGUGCGUUUUUGUAUGUACUUUAUGAAUAAGGAUCGGCUAACUCCGUGCCAGCAGCCGCGGUAAUACGGAGGAUCCGAGCGUUAUCCGGAUUUAUUGGGUUUAAAGGGAGCGUAGAGGGGUUGUUAAGUCAGUGUUAAAAUCGUGGGGUUCAACUUUAACUUGCACAUGAAACUGGCAAUCUUGAGUACGCGUGAGGUAUGCGGAAUUCGUGGUGUAGCGGUGAAAUGCUUAGAUAUCACGAAGAACUCCGAUUGCGAAGGCAGCUUAC